ACUCUUCAACCCUCCAGUUUCUUGUAGACUGACAGGUGUUUGGAUUUUGAGCGUUGCUGGUCCUCGGAUCGAGCUCGUUCGUAAUAUAUUAGCAUCUCUAAUUCGAACUCGGAUUGACUCAGUGUAAUAGACUAUUCGCUGAGGACACGCUCUUGCAGUGUGGCCGAAUGAGAUCUCAGUAGAAGCUUCCAACUACUUUAGUCAACUUUAGAU
rnacentral:misc_RNA from 1 species